AAGGGUAUAGCUCAGUGGUAGAGUGUGUGCUUAGCAUGCACAAGGUCCUGGGUUCAAUCCCCAGCACCUCCA
rnacentral:tRNA from 1 species